UACAGAGGUCUCAAGCGUUGUUCGGAUUCAUUGGGCGUAAAGGGUGCGUAGGCGGCGCGGUAAGUCGGGUGUGAAAUUUCGAGGCUUAACUUCGAAACUGCAUUCGAUACUGCCGUGCUUGAGGACUGGAGAGGAGAGUGGAAUUCCUGGUGUAGCGGUGAAAUGCGCAGAUAUCGGGAAGAACACCCGUGGCGAAGGCGGCUCUCUGGGACGGUACUGACGCUGAGACGCGAAAGCGUGGGGAGCGAACAGGA
rnacentral:rRNA from 1 species